GAAAAAAAUAUCAUAUUAGAAAAAUUCGUUAGUUGAAAGCUAUUGGUGACCAGCACAGUUGUAUCUAACGCUACUUCCUGUUCCAUUACCAUGUCAUAGGUGAUAUUGCAAAGUUUCUCUUUCAUCAUGUGGUUUCAAAGGCAGCGGUUUGAAUUAAACGUAUAACCACCAAGCAGUAACAGUUUCGCUUAUUGUAGAAACAUUGUAGGUUCGUUAAUAGUAUGUGUUGGACAUCAGAUGGAGCUAAAAUAUGCAUAGUGUACGAGGAUGGCGCCAUCAUUGUAGGCUCUGUUGAUGGAAAUCGUAUUUGGGGGAAGGAGCUAAAGAAUAUUCAUUUAACUACCAAAAGUUAAUGAUGAAGCUAAAUGUACAGUGCGUCACCCUUAGUCCAAAUAGAAAUUUUAGAAUCUCGGCACUUUGUUGGUAUAGGGGACGGGCACCAUCCAACC